CCUACGGGAGGCAGCAGUGAGGAAUAUUGGUCAAUGGACGAGAGUCUGAACCAGCCAAGUAGCGUGAAGGAUGACUGCUCUAUGGGUCGUAAACCUCUUUUAUAAAGGAAUAAAACGCGGCACGUGUGCCUUUUUGCAUGUACUUUAUGAAUAAGGAUCGGCUAACUCCGUGCCAGCAGCCGCGGUAAUACGGAGGAUCCGAGCGUUAUCCGGAUUUAUUGGGUUUAAAGGGAGCGUAGAUGGGUUGUUAAGUCAGUUGUGAAAGUUUGUGGCUCAACCGUAAAAUUGCAAUUGAUACUGGCAGGCUUGAGUACGGUUGAGGUAGGCGGAAUUCGUGGUGUAGCGGUGAAAUGCUUAGAUAUCACGAAGAACCCCGAUUGCGAAGGCAGCUUACUAAGCUAUGACUGACAUUGAUGCUCGAAAGUGUGGGUAUCAAACAGGAUUAGAUACCCUUGUAGUC
rnacentral:rRNA from 1 species